rnacentral:rRNA from 1 species
GCGGUAAUACCAGCUCUCCGAGUGGUGAGGACGAUUAUUGGGCUUAAAGCGUUCGUAGCCGGCUUAACAAGUCUUCCGUUAAAUCCAACGAUCUAAUCGUUGGGCCGCGGAAGAUACUGUUGGGCUAGGAGGCGGGAGAAGCCGACGGUAUUCUCGGGGUAGGGGUGAAAUCCUGUAAUCCCGG